rnacentral:lncRNA from 1 species
CGCAAUUCAAGAGACUCUCUUGAUUGCUCACAAAAAUAAUGCACACAUACGCGUUUUUUAAAAUAUCAAUACUCAUUUAAAAAAUAUUGAUACUCAUCAGGUUUUAAAAACUCAUGCAGCGUGUUUUCAAACAAUUUAAGAAACCCCUAAAAUUUUCUGCUCUUGUUUCAAAAAGGCCUUUAACCCUAACUUCAAAAUUCCUUAAUACUUCAUUUUUUUUCUUUAAAAUCUUGACACAAAACAACCUAUAUUGUCUUUUCUUACAAGGAUUCAACAAGUUUGCUCUCAAAUUUCACAAUUUUUAAGCAAUUUCAAGGUAAAAAAUUUAUUUUUCCCAUUUCGAAUUUUGUGGAAUUUCUGUCAAAUUCUUGGUUGCAAAUUAUGUUUUUGGUUUAUUUGGAACAUAUACAUUAUGUUUUCUUGCAGGAGGUUGCCUAAGCUUAGCCAAAAUCUUAAAACUUUUCUUUAAACCCUUUGCAUACAAGGUGUUCGAUAAAAUUCCCCAACCAGAAUUUUAAGUGCAAAUAGUGUCUCUCUAGUCUAGUUAGUUAGAAUGUCUAUUAGGAAACAUCCUCAUUUCGGUCCUAUGGAUUCAUCUAGUGGCCAAACCAUUUCUUUCAAUGAUUGUUGUAGAAAAUACAAUGAUACUUAUCUGUUUGAUCAAUAUUUUUCAAAACGCAAAGUUAAUGUUACUCGCACACUUGAUUUUAAAAUUUUAUCCAAAAUCAAAUUUCAAUUUCUUCAAACAUUAGUCUAAUGGCAUUGGCUCGUCUUUUUUAAAAUUCGUUCACCAAUGCAUGCUAAUCUUGUUUGAGCAUUUUAUUCAAAUGCUAGGCUCGAACAUGAUGAAUCUGAUGAGACUGUGGUUGCUAUUAAUUAUUUCCUCAUGAAUACUCCUCUUCGUCUCAUUUUGGAAAACUUUGGUAAAUUUUUUAAACUUCCUCCCGAUAGUGAGUCAAAUGAGAAAGGCCCUUACUAUCCGGCCUUAAACGUUCGACGCUCGUAAGCAUCCGAGCUCAAUGUCCAUGAUCGCGUUUUGCAUUUUAUAAUCACAUGGAUAUUGCAUCCUAUUUCAAAACACAUCAUUUUUUGAUCUAUUGACUAUUGGUGAAUUGAUUGUUUUCAUAGAAAUAGGCGCCCGGAUCUUACUUUAAUUUUAUUUAAUGACAUUACCAAGCGUAUUGGCAAGGAGCUCGCUAGUCAGCUCUCUUUACCUUUUGGCACGUACUUGUUAUAUAUUUUUGAACGCCUAAACAUCCCAACCAACAUCGACCCUCCAUUGGUCAUUAAAUAUCAACCUAUUAGCUUUACUUCCCUUCAUCGAGCUGGUUUUAAAAUGGAUCCUUUUACCAGAAAUUGGGUUAAGGAUGAUUAUCCUAAUCCUCAAGAUGUUGAUGAUGAAGACCUUGAAGAAGACCAUGAUGAUAUUCCUCCUUCCGAGCAGGACCCUCCACCGGCUUCUUCAUCCGCUCAACCAUCUACUCCAACUCUCUCUGACGACAUGUUUUCCACCAUCCUUAGUGCUAUUACUUCAUUGAGUGAGGAGUUUAGAGGUUUUCGUACUCGAGUAGAUGAUGUGUUUGAACGAGUUAAUAACAAUGUUAGUAGUCUAGACUCUAGGAUGUCUAGGAUGUAGGAAAAUAUUGCAUAUUUAAUGUCUCAAUUCUCUCCUACUCCUCCACCUCAAGAAGACUAGAGUACAUAUUUUUUUUCUCAUGCAUUUUACUCAUUUUCAUGGCACAUUUUCCUAUUUCUAUGUUAGAACUUAAUGUUUAUUUUGGUAUCUUGUUUGUAGAUCCUUGAAAUUUUAUUUUGGUAUAUAUUUAUGUUAGUUCUUUGCUUUCCAAUUUUUCAAUUUCUUUUAUUGGGCUAACAAAGUCUCUCUCUCAAGCUUUAUUUGUUGAUUUUUGAUAUAAUAAAAAGGGGAAGAUAAGAGAAAGGUAAAUUAUUGGUA